ACGCUGGCGGCAGGCCUAACACAUGCAAGUCGAGCGGUAGCACGGGAGAGCUUGCUCUCUGGGUGACGAGCGGCGGACGGGUGAGUAAUGUCUGGGAAACUGCCUGAUGGAGGGGGAUAACUACUGGAAACGGUAGCUAAUACCGCAUGACCUCGCAAGAGCAAAGUGGGGGACCUUCGGGCCUCACGCCAUCGGAUGUGCCCAGAUGGGAUUAGCUAGUAGGUGGGGUAAUGGCUCACCUAGGCGACGAUCCCCAGCUGGUCUGAGAGGAUGACCAGCCACACUGGAACUGAGACACGGUCCAGACUCCUACGGGAGGCAGCAGUGGGGAAUAUUGCACAAUGGGCGCAAGCCUGAUGCAGCCAUGCCGCGUGUGUGAAGAAGGCCUUAGGGUUGUAAAGCACUUUCAGCGAGGAGGAAGGCGUUGCAGUUAAUAGCUGCAGCGAUUGACGUUACUCGCAGAAGAAGCACCGGCUAACUCCGUGCCAGCAGCCGCGGUAAUACGGGGGGUGCAAGCGUUAAUCGGAAUUACUGGGCGUAAAGCGCACGCAGGCGGUUUGUUAAGUUGGAUGUGAAAUCCCCGGGCUCAACCUGGGAACUGCAUUCAAAACUGUCGAGCUAGAGUAUGGUAGAGGGUGGUGGAAUUUCCUGUGUAGCGGUGAAAUGCGUAGAUAUAGGAAGGAACACCAGUGGCGAAGGCGACCACCUGGACUGAUACUGACACUGAGGUGCGAAAGCGUGGGGAGCAAAC
rnacentral:rRNA from 1 species